UGAGGAAUCUUGCGCAAUGGGGGAAACCCUGACGCAGCAACGCCGCGUGAGUGAGGAAGGCCUUCGGGUCGUAAAGCUCUGUCGGGUGGAAAGAAACGCAUGGGUGCUAAUACCAUCUAUGCUUGACGGUACCGCCAAAGGAAGCACCGGCUAACUCCGUGCCAGCAGCCGCGGUAAUACGGGGGGUGCAAGCGUUGUUCGGAAUCAUUGGGCGUAAAGAGCGUGUAGGCGGCUGGAUAAGUCAGAUGUGAAAGCCCUGGGCUCAACCCAGGAAGUGCAUUUGAUACUGUCCUGCUAGAGUAGGGAAGAGGGAAGUGGAAUUCCUGGUGUAGAGGUGAAAUUCGUAGAUAUCAGGAGGAACACCGGUGGCGAAGGCGACUUCCUGGUCCUAUACUGACGCUGAGACGCGAGAGCGUGGGGAGCAAACAG
rnacentral:rRNA from 1 species